ACGGGAGGCAGCAGUGGGGAAUAUUGCACAAUGGGGGAAACCCUGAUGCAGCGACGCCGCGUGAGUGAAGAAGUAUUUCGGUAUGUAAAGCUCUAUCAGCAGGGAAGAAAAUGACGGUACCUGACUAAGAAGCCCCGGCUAACUACGUGCCAGCAGCCGCGGUAGUACGUAGGGGGCAAGCGUUAUCCGGAUUUACUGGGUGUAAAGGGAGCGUAGACGGCGAGACAAGUCUGAUGUGAAAGGUGGGGGCUCAACCCCCAAACUGCAUUGGAAACUGCCUGGCUUGAGUGCCGGAGAGGUAAGCGGAAUUCCUAGUGUAGCGGUGAAAUGCGUAGAUAUUAGGAGGAACACCAGUGGCGAAGGCGGCUUACUGGACGGUAACUGACGUUGAGGCUCGAAAGCGUGGGGAGCAAACAGGAUUAGAUACCCUGGUA
rnacentral:rRNA from 1 species